rnacentral:piRNA from 1 species
UCCUAUAAAGAUCUCAAAGUUACAUGCCCCC